rnacentral:rRNA from 1 species
GGAAGAACACCAGUGGCGAAGGCGGCUUUCUGGACUGUAACUGACGCUGAGGCACGAAAGCGUGGGUAGCAAACAGGAUUAGAUACCCUGGUAGUCCACGCCGUAAACGAUGAGUACUAGGUGUAGGAGGUAUCGACCCCUUCUGUGCCGCAGUUAACACAAUAAGUACUCCGCCUGGGAAGUACGAUCGCAAGAUUAAAACUCAAAGGAAUUGACGGGGGCCCGCACAAGCAGCGGAGCAUGUGGUUUAAUUCGAAGCAACGCGAAGAACCUUACCUGGACUUGACAUCCCCUGAAUAGCUUAGAGAUAAGCGAAGCCCUUCGGGGCAGGGAGACAGGUGGUGCAUGGUUGUCGUCAGCUCGUGUCGUGAGAUGUUAGGUUAAGUCCUGCAACGAGCGCAACCCCUAUUAUUAGUUGCUAACAUUAAGUUGAGCACUCUAGUAAGACUGCCCGGGUUAACCGGGAGGAAGGUGGGGAUGACGUCAAAUCAUCAUGCCCCUUAUGUCCAGGGCCACACACGUGCUACAAUGGUGAGUACAAAAAGAUGCGAUCCCGCGAGGGGGAGCAAAACUUAAAAACUCAUCCCAGUUCGGAUUGUAGGCUGAAACUCGCCUACAUGAAGCUGGAGUUGCUAGUAAUCGCGAAUCAGCAUGUCGCGGUGAAUACGUUCCCGGGCCUUGUACACACCGCCCGUCACACCAUGAGAGCUGGCAACACCCGAAGUCCGUGAGAUAACCUUUUAGGAGUCAGCGGCCGAA